GAUGAACGCCGGCGGUGUGCCUAAUACAUGCAAGUCGUACGCACUGGCCCAACUGAUUGAUGGUGCUUGCACCUGAUUGACGAUGGAUCACCAGUGAGUGGCGGACGGGUGAGUAACACGUAGGUAACCUGCCCCGGAGCGGGGGAUAACAUUUGGAAACAGAUGCUAAUACCGCAUAACAACAAAAGCCGCAUGGUUUUUGUUUGAAAGAUGGCUUUGGCUAUCACUCUGGGAUGGACCUGCGGUGCAUUAGCUAGUUGGUGGGGUAACGGCCUACCAAGGCGACGAUCAGUAGCCGGCCUGAGAGGGUGAACGGCCACAUUGGGACUGAGACACGGCCCAAA
rnacentral:rRNA from 1 species